GACGAACGCUGGCGGCGUGCUUAACACAUGCAAGUCGAACGGAAAGGCCCUGCUUUUGUGGGGUGCUCGAGUGGCGAACGGGUGAGUAACACGUGAGUAACCUGCCCUUGACUUUGGGAUAACUUCAGGAAACUGGGGCUAAUACCGGAUAGGAGCUCCUGCUGCAUGGUGGGGGUUGGAAAGUUUCGGCGGUUGGGGAUGGACUCGCGGCUUAUCAGCUUGUUGGUGGGGUAGUGGCUUACCAAGGCUUUGACGGGUAGCCGGCCUGAGAGGGUGACCGGCCACAUUGGGACUGAGAUACGGCGCAGACUCCUACGGGAGGCAGCAGUGGGGAAUAUUGCACAAUGGGCGGAAGCCUGAUACAGCAACGCCGCGUGCGGGAUGACGGCCUUCGAGUUGUAAACCGCUUUCGCCUGUGACGAAGCGUGAGUGACGGUAAUGGGUAAAGAAGCACCGGCUAACUACGUG
rnacentral:rRNA from 1 species